rnacentral:lncRNA from 1 species
AGAGGAAAACUCAUAGCAAAAAGAAACAGGAGAGAGCAUAUGUCCGCAGCUUGACAGCACACCUUAAAGCUCUAGAACAAAAAGAAAGAAAUAAACCCAAGAGGAGUGGAAAGCAGGAAAUAAUCAAACUCAUGACUGAAAUCAAGUACAAACAAAAAGGACUAUACAAAGAAUCAAGAAAAGCAGGAGCUGGUUCUAUGAGAAAAUCAACAAGAUAGAUAAAUCGUUAGAGAGACUAACCAGAAGUCACAGAGAAUGUAUCCAAAUUAACAAAAUCAGAAAUGAAAAGGGAAACAUAACUACAGAAUCUGAAGACAUUAAAAAAAAUCAUCAGGGGUUUGGGGAUUUAGCUCAGUGGUAGAGCGCUUGCCUAGGAAGCACAAGGCCCUGGGUUCGGUCCCCAGCUCCGAAAAAAAAAAAACAUCAGAUCCUACUACAAAAGCCUAUAUUCAACAAAACUGGAAAAUCUGGAGGAAAUGGACAAUUUUCUAGACAGAUACCAGGUACUAAAGUUAAAUCAGGAACAAAUAAACCAUCUAAACACCCCAUAAAUCCUAAAAAAAAAAAAAAAAA